UACGUAGGGGGCAAGCGUUGUCCGGAAUCAUUGGGCGUAAAGAGCGUGUAGGCGGCUCGGUAAGUCCGCUGUGAAAGUCCAGGGCUCAACCCUGGAAUGCCGGUGGAAACUGUUGAGCUAGAGUCCGGAAGAGGCGAGUGGAAUUCCUGGUGUAGCGGUGAAAUGCGUAGAGAUCGGAAAGAACACCAACGGCGAAAGCACUCUGCUGGGCCGACACUGACACUGAGAGACGAAAGCUAGGGGAGCGAAUGGG
rnacentral:rRNA from 1 species